rnacentral:miRNA from 1 species
UGCAAGCGCUGCAGAAUUGGCA